GACGAACGCUGGCGGCGUGCCUAAUACAUGCAAGUCGAGCGGACAGAAGGGAGCUUGCUCCCGGAAGUUAGCGGCGGACGGGUGAGUAACACGUGGGCAACCUACCCUGUAGAUCGGGAUAACAUCGAGAAAUCGGUGCUAAUACCGGAUAAUCAUUUGAAGUGCAUGCUUCGAAUGUAAAAGAUGGCUCCGGCUAUCACUACGGUAUGGGCCGGCGGCGCAGUAGCUAGUUGGUAAGGUAAUGGCUUACCAAGGCAACGAUGCGUAGCCGACCUGAGAGGGUGAUCGGCCACACUGGGACUGAGACACGGCCCAGACUCCUACGGGAGGCAGCAGUAGGGAAUCUUCCGCAAUGGACUAAAGUCUGACGGAGCAACGCCGCGUGAGUGAUGAAGGUUUUCGGACCGUAAAGCUCUGUUGUUAGGGAAGAACAAGUGCCGUUUGAAUAAGGCGGCACCUUGACGGUACCUAACCAGAAAGCCACGGCUAACUACGUGCCAGCAGCCGCGGUAAUAC
rnacentral:rRNA from 1 species